UGCAAGUCGAACGGAAGUCGUUAUAAAAAGGAUUGAGGAUUUAUCUGAUUGAGAUUUUAUAACAAUGGCUUUAGUGGCGGACUGGUGAGUAACGCGUGAGCAACCUGCCUACUAGAGGGGAAUAACAGUGAGAAAUCAUUGCUAAUACCGCAUAUGCCAUGAACAUCACAUGAUGAAAGUGGGAAAAGAGUAAUCUGCUAGUAGAUGGGCUCGCGUCUGAUUAGAUAGUUGGUGGGGUAACGGCCUACCAAGUCGACGAUCAGUAGCCGGACUGAGAGGUUGAACGGCCACAUUGGGACUGAGAUACGGCCCAGACUCCUACGGGAGGCAGCAGUCGGGAAUAUUGCGCAAUGGAGGAAACUCUGACGCAGUGACGCCGCGUAUAGGAAGAAGGUUUUCGGAUUGUAAACUAUUGUCGUUAGGGAAGAUACAAGACAGUACCUAAGGAGGAAGCUCCGGCUAACUACGUGCCAGCAGCCGCGGUAAUACGUAGGGAGCAAGCGUUAUCCGGAUUUAUUGGGUGUAAAGGGUGCGUAGACGGGAAAGCAAGUUAGUUGUGAAAUCCCUCGGCUUAACUGAGGAACUGCAACUAAAACUGUUUUUCUUGAGUGUUGGAGAGGAAAGUGGAAUUCCUAGUGUAGCGGUGAAAUGCGUAGAUAUUAGGAGGAACACCGGUGGCGAAGGCGACUUUCUGGACAAUAACUGACGUUGAGGCACGAAAGUGUGGGGAGCAAACAGGAUUAGAUACCCUGGUAGUCCACACCGUAAACGAUGGAUACUAGGUGUAGGGAAUGAUUUCAUUUU
rnacentral:rRNA from 1 species